rnacentral:rRNA from 1 species
CCUACGGGCGGCAGCAGUGAGGAAUAUUGGUCAAUGGCCGCAAGGCUGAACCAGCCAAGUCGCGUGAAGGAUGAAGGAUCUAUGGUUUGUAAACCUCUUUUAUAGGGGAACAAAGGUAUCCACGUGUGGCUAUUUGCAUGUACCCUAUGAAUAAGCAUCGGCUUACUCCGUGCCAGCAGCCGCGGUAAUACGGAGGAUGCGAACGUUAUCCGGAUUUAUUGGGUUUAAAGGGUGCGUAGGUUGUUUUUUAAGUCAGCGGGGAAAGUUUGUGGCUCAACCAUAAGAUUGCCGUUGAAACUGGACGACUUGAGUGUGUUUGAGGUAUGCGGAAUGCGUGGUGUAGCGGUGAAAUGCAUAGAUAUCACGCAGAACUCCGAUUGCGAAGGCAGCUUACUAAGCCAUAACUGACGCUGAAGCACGAAAGCGUGGGGAUCAAACAGGAUUAGAUACCCCGGUAGUC